rnacentral:rRNA from 1 species
GUAUUAGCUAGUUGGUGGGGGUAACGGCUCACCAAGGCGACGAUACAUAGGGGGACUGAGAGGUUAACCCCCCACACUGGUACUGAGACACGGACCAGACUCCUACGGGAGGCAGCAGUGAGGAAUAUUGGUCAAUGGACGCAAGUCUGAACCAGCCAUGCCGCGUGCAGGAUGACGGCUCUAUGAGUUGUAAACUGCUUUUGUACGAGGGUAAACGCAGAUACGUGUAUCUGUCUGAAAGUAUCGUACGAAUAAGGAUCGGCUAACUCCGUGCCAGCAGCCGCGGUAAUACGGAGGAUUCAAGCGUUAUCCGGAUUUAUUGGGUUUAAAGGGUGCGUAGGCGGUUUGAUAAGUUAGAGGUGAAAUUUCGGGGCUCAACCCUGAACGUGCCUCUAAUACUGUUGAGCUAGAGAGUAGUUGCGGUAGGCGGAAUGUAUGGUGUAGCGGUGAAAUGCUUAGAGAUCAUACAGAACACCGAUUGCGAAGGCAGCUUACCAAACUAUAUCUGACGUUGAGGCACGAAAGCGUGGGGAGCAAACAGGAUUAGAUACCCUGGUAGUCCACGCAGUAAACGAUGAUAACUCGUUGUCGGCGAUACACAGUCGGUGACUAAGCGAAAGCGAUAAGUUAUCCACCUGGGGAGUA